UUAAGAGCAAAUCUGACAGGAGUAAAUAGUUGAUCAGGUCACGAUCUAUCUGCCGUGGAAUUUUCAGAUGAAUUGGAUAAUUGGUUGUUAGGUUGCUGCCCCUGAAUUGGUAAUUUUGAGGAAAUUUUGCUGUUUUUUAUUAUUAUCUUGAAUAUUAUUAUAGAUAGAGAUAAACUGUAAACAGCAAUAAUGUACAGCAAAGUAAGAACUAAAAAUAAGUCAGUGAGACCAAAAUAGUGAAUUUACCCCCUAAGGAGUUAUUGCCCUUCAUAGUCAAUUUUUAACAAUUUUCUUAAAAUUUGAAGAUUUUCAAUAACAUUUUCCACAGAAAGUACUGUUAUAGAUAGAGAUAAUUGUAAGCAGCAAGAAUGUUUAGUAAAGUAAGAUCUACAAACUCACAUGACCAAAACACAAUUUUGUUAUGAAUCCAUCUGUGUCAUUGUUUAAUAUUCACAUAGACCAAGGUGAGCGACACAGAAUCUUUAGAGCCUCUAGUUAACCAUUUUUCGUAAAUCUUAGUUAUCUUUUACAAAAAUCUUCUCCUCUGAAACUACUGGGCCAAAUUAAACCAAACAUUAACCACAAUCAUUAUUAGGGUAUCUUGUUUAAAAAAUGUGUCCGGUGACUGGCCAACCAACCAAGAUGGCCGACAUGGCUAAAAAUAAAACAUAGGGGUAAAAUGCAGUUUUUGGCUUAUAACUCAAAAACCAAAGCAUUUAGAGCAAAUCUGACAAGGGUAAAAUUGUUCAUCAGGUCAAGAUCUAUCUGCCCUGAAAUUUUCAGAUGAAUCGGACAUUUUACCCGUUGUUGGGUUGCUGCCCUGAAUUGGUAAUUUUAAGGAAAUUUUGCUGUUUUUGGUUAUUAUCUUGAAUAUUGUUAUAGAUAGAGAUAAACUGUAAACACCAAUAAUGUUCAGCAAAGUAAGAUCUACAAAUAAGUCAACAUGACCAAAAUGGUCAGUUGACCACUUAAGGAGUUAUUGCCCUUUAUAGUCAAUUUUUAACCAUUUUUCGUAAAUCUUAGUAAUCUUUUAGAAAAAUCUUCUCCUCUGAAACUACUGGGCCAAAUUUAACCAAACUUAGGCCAUGAAUCAUCAUUGGGGUAUCUUAGUUUAAAAAAUGUGUCCGGUAACCCGGCCCAACAAACCAAGAUGGCCGCCAUGGCUAAAAAUAGAAACAUAGGGGUAAAAUGCAGUUUUUGGCUUAUAACUCAAAAACCAAAGCAUUAAGAGCAAAUCUGACAGGAAGUAAAAUUGUUGAUCAGGUCACGAUCUAUUUGCCCUGGAAUUUUCAGAUGAAUCGGAUAAUUGGUUGUUAGGUUGCUGCCCCUGAAUUGGUAAUUUUGAGGAAAUUUUGCUGUUUUUUAGUUAUUAUCUUGAAUAUUAUUAUAGAUAGAGAUAAACUGUAAACAGCAAUAAUGUACAGCAAAGUAAGAACUAAAAAUAAGUCAGUGAGACCAAAAUAGUGAAUUUACCCCCUAAGGAGUUAUUGCCCUUCAUAGUCAAUUUUUAACAAUUUUCUUAAAAUUUGAAGAUUUUCAAUAACAUUUUCCACAGAAAGUACUGUUAUAGAUAGAGAUAAUUGUAAGCAGCAAGAAUGUUUAGUAAAGUAAGAUCUACAAACACAUCACCAUCACCAAAACACAAUUUUGUCAUGAAUCCAUCUGUGUCCAUUGUUUAAUAUUCACAUAGACCAAGGUGAGCGACACAGGCUCUUUAGAGCCUCUAGUUAACCAUUUUUCGUAAAUCUUAGUUAUCUUUUACAAAAAUCUUCUCCUCUGAAACUACUGGGCCAAAUUUAACCAAACAUGGCCAAAAUCAUUAUUAGGGUAUCUAGUUUAAAAAUUGUGUCCGGUGACCUGGCUAACCAACCAAGAUGGCCGCCAUGGCUAAAAAUAGAACAUAGGGGUAAAAUGCAGUUUUUAGCUUAUAACUCACAAACCAAAGCAAUUAGAGCAAAUCUGACAUGGGGGUAAAAUUGUUUAUCAGGUCAAGAUCUAUCUGCCCUGAAAUUUUCAGAUGAAUCGGACAACCCGUUGUUGGGUUGCCGCCCCUGAAUUGGUAAUUUUAAGGAAAUUUUGCUGUUUUUGGUUAUUAUCUUGAAUAUUAUUAUAGAUGUAGAUAAACUGUAAACAGCAAUAAUGUAAUGCUUGGGGUAUACAAUGUUUUUUAUACUUUCAUCAUAAAUUAUAUUAUGAACACGAGACAAA
rnacentral:lncRNA from 1 species